rnacentral:rRNA from 1 species
CCUACGGGUGGCAGCAGUGAGGAAUAUUGGUCAAUGGGCGAAAGUCUGAACCAGCCAAGUAGCGUGAAGGAUGACUGCCCUAUGGGUUGUAAACUUCUUUUAUAUGGGAAUAAAACGUUCCACGUGUGGGAUUUUGUAUGUACCAUAUGAAUAAGGAUCGGCUAACUCCGUGCCAGCAGCCGCGGUAAUACGGAGGAUCCGAGCGUUAUCCGGAUUUAUUGGGUUUAAAGGGAGCGUAGGUGGAUUGUUAAGUCAGUUGUGAAAGUUUGCGGCUCAACCGUAAAAUUGCAGUUGAAACUGGCAGUCUUGAGUACAGUAGAGGUGGGCGGAAUUCGUGGUGUAGCGGUGAAAUGCUUAGAUAUCACGAAGAACUCCGAUUGCGAAGGCAGUUCACUGGACUGCAACUGACACUGAGGCUCGAAAGCGUGGGUAUCAAACAGGAUUAGAUACCCUGGUAGUC